CAUGUUAAAAUCGUCCAUUUAUCUUCUUACCAGCAAAAUCGUUGUAUUAUCUGCUGCUCAAGUAAACAAUGUGACAGUCAGGCAGUACAAUUAUAAUUAGGCAACCAGAACAUAUAACCUCUAUGUUGGGGAGCCUUCGAGAAAUUAUGUGAAUACAGUUACCGACUUUUACUUAAACCUGGUCCAUUAAAUCAAUUGUCUGUGAGUAUUGCUGAGCCCUCGGAACCCAUUUGUGGUAAGGAAGAUGACGAGGAAUGUUAUUUAUCUAAUUCCGAUGUGACAUAAGCUCAAAGGCUUCAGGCAGUGAAGCUACAGCUGUGAAAAAGCAUAUGAGAAAUAAACGUGUACUGAAGAGAGUCAAUUAUCAAAAGAGAAAUUAAAAUAUUUCAGUAGGACUACAACAAAACAAGCUGAAAGUCUCAUUCAGUCGAACAAUCGAAUAAAGAAAUGGAAUGAUCACGUACUCGAAGUGUUGGAAAACGUGGUCAAUGACAUCGGAGCCGAAUAAUGUCUACCACACAUGACCAACGAUUAUAAAUAAACAUAAAGAGUUUUAAAGUGUAAAAAGUUGCUAGAACUCCUAUAACUGCUAUAUAUAUUCAGCUCACAAUAUGUAUGUAUGUGCCAUAAUAGACAUGGUUGGGCAAAGCAGCAUUUGAUUUUAAUUGUAUCAAUUUGGAUCUCGAACGAUCUCUUUAAAGGAUAGCAUCCACUUGUGAAGUUUUAAAUGUUUGAAGUUUAGGUUAAAAAUUGUUUAAAAAAUGGGAGUGGCCCCACCCUCUAAGGGCUUUAAUAUGCAUAUCUCUAAUCUACCAAAUUCGCCCAUAAGAACGACUACCGAAAAUAUGGAAAGGAUGAAAUCAGAUUAUAACCUCGCUCUCUCAUUAACUACCAUAAAUGCGCUAGGGACAUUAAAUUUUACACACAGGAUGAUAAAAAGGGUUUUAUAGGAGCCGGGGUCAAAACUGUCUCGUGGCAACGCCUACACAUAUCACAUAGCAAUUGGACUUGAUU